UGGAAAGCAAGUACCCAGAAACGCGGUCCACACUGAAAGAGGUGCAUUUCGAAAGAGUUGACAAAGAAAUGUACACAGAUAUAUUCUUGCUUUGCUGUUUCUUUUUCUCUCGUUCUCUCUCUCUAAUUACAAGCCUAUCGCCACCAGUUGAUUAUUUCACACAGACAGUAACAGGCAAAACAAUUCCAUAGAUCUAUAUAGAUGGAGGGAACUAAGUCAUUUCUAGAGGCCAGACAUAAUGUGAAAUUUACCGGGUUAAUCGACUUUACAUGGUCAUGACAUGAGUUUAAAAAUUGAAGAACUUUGCACAGACAAGUCUGCACGCUUGAUGAAAAACAUGCUAGUCCCUCGGCCAACCAAAAUGCUCCAGGCUGUCUUAAGCCUCCCUCCUCAACCAAUCAGAGAUCACCUCAAGACCAAUGUAGGCAUCAGAAUAAUGCUGCUUCUCCUGCUGCUGAUAGAGAUACCUACCUAAUCAUGGAGAAAUGUGGCUGAUAUCUUUCCGAGAUUUUCCAAGCAGGCGAUGGGGAAAAAAAGGAGAGUGAAUUCCUCCUUUCACCCCUCCUCCUUUGUUCCUCAGU